CCUCAUCACCAGGAUUUCCUGUAACUAUUACCCAGUAAUUCUUGUCUUCUUCAACUCGAUGGGAGUCCAGGAACGGGAAAUCCUUCAUAUUCAAGACGCAGUUGUGGAUCCAAGAAGUUUGCUUGCCAGCACGUCAAAUAGGAAAGCUCAUCUGUCAAAAAUACUUGUUGAAGCAAAAUUCAUUGCACAUCUCUCAGAAUAAGAUACCAAAAGCUGACGUCACUGAAAACCUAAGAAACUAUGAAAAAGAAUCAUAGAACGGCUUGGGUUGGAAGGGACCUCAAGGAUCAUCAAGCUUCAACCUUUCAACCUCCCCAC